rnacentral:rRNA from 1 species
UACGAACGCUGGCGGCGUGCUUAACACAUGCAAGUCGUACGGUAAGGCCCUUUCGGGGGUACACGAGUGGCGCACGGGUGAGUAACACGUGAGUAACCUGCCCACAACUUUGGGAUAACGCUAGGAAACUGGUGCUAAUACUGGAUAUGUGCUCCUGCUGCAUGGUGGGGGUUGGAAAGCUCCGGCGGUUGUGGAUGGACUCGCGGCCUAUCAGCUUGUUGGUGGGGUAGUGGCCUACCAAGGCGGCGACGGGUAGCCGGCCUGAGAGGGUGACCGGCCACAUUGGGACUGAGAUACGGCCCAGACUCCUACGGGAGGCAGCAGUGGGGAAUAUUGCACAAUGGGCGCAAGCCUGAUGCGGCAACGCCGCGUGCGGGAUGACGGCCUUCGGGUUGUAAACCGCUUUCAGCAGGGACGAAGCUUUUUGUGACGGUACCUGCAGAAGAAGCACCGGCUAACUACGUG